CAACAUUGAUAUUUAACCUAAUCGGCUGCCUUCUACCGACAGAUGUUGGCCGAUUGUAGGUUAGAUGGCGAUAUUGCCAAAGAUUAUAUAAGAUAUAUGAUAACUCGAUGAAUUACAUAAACAAGAUUAGAGUAUCAUAAAGAUGGAAGCACUAAUCCCGAGAACGCAAGCCGCCAUAACAAGUUUUACCUCUUGUUGAAGAUCGAAACCGAUGCAGCUCAACCCGAAUGCAAGAACUCAUCGAAACAAAACGAAAGUAAAAGGGUAGCGAUGCGCCGAGAUUGUAUUGAACGUGUGUUAGUUUUAUCACAUGGGGCUCGGGGUCUAUUUAUACCCGAGAAUUACAAAAUAUGUCCAUAUCAGAUACGACUCUUAUCUCUAACAAACUCUAAAAUAUCAUAAGUCUUUGCGGCAGACUUUUGCCCAAACAUAUCUCUAAGGAAAUUACAUAAAAUAUCCUAAUUAAUAGAUACAAUUGCCUUCUCAGGUCUAUCCAUGCGUGGCAAUCAUCAUGAAGCACAUCAACCUAAACCGACAAUAUAUGUUGUGUCAUAUUGCCGGAUUCGGCUCAAUCGGCUAACCUCGUCCGACUCGAACUCUGCCGAUCUUAGUCGUAGCCGAUUCGGACUUCAGCCGAUCCUCACUCUGUUUCUGGGACGAUUUCCAUCUCGGUUUCUUCUUCAUCUCCGAUCCUUGGAUUACCAAAUUUGGUCGUUAACAACGCCUCCAUCCACAUGACCGGUGCACGGGACGCUGUCACGCCCGGAAAUUCACUAGUAAUUUCCGAACUAAUUUGUGCAUAAAAUCCUCGUCCAGGAAUCAGCCGAGGUACACAAACUGACAAUUUAAUAUACAAAUCCAUCUUAAUAAUGACGUUACAUACUUACAAAAGAAAAGAAAACAGCAGCGGAAUUAACGGUCUAGCGACGGCUUCAGCUCCACUCCCACAGGCAGCUCAACUUGGGUAUAAGCCAAACGUCUUCUCCUUCUGGAUCCUUUAUCUUCAACUGAGGUUUGAUGAUUAUUGCAAGAAUGAGCAUAUGACAUACUCAACAAGCCACACAGCAAAUAUGCAAGUGCACAAGGAUACCAAAGGAUGGCAUAAUAUAGGCUCAUUUGCGAAAGCAGCAUUUAGCAAAUAGUUAAGAGUAGUAAAACAGUAGAGUAAUUAAUUAAAAAUUUUAAUCAACACUGAACAGCACACCCAUGCUGCACAGGCCCAACCAUCCUGAACAACCAUACCCGGCUGUACAGAUCUAAAUCCAAACCAGGAGCUAAGCAAAUUAUUACCAGGUAUAACAUCCAUAAUUAUUGUGAGAGGUGUGAGACUAAUCACGAAAAACAUUGCUCAACCCGCCCAUAACCGCGGGCACGGCUAUUCGAAUAGUUUUACUCUGGCCAGAGGUGUACCACUGUACCCACAAGACACAACCCCACAUCAUGUCACCAUGUGCCUCAAUACCACCACGGUAUCUCGGAAAGGAGUUGUGACAAUACCCCUUGCACAACAUAACCCAUUACAGCGCACCUUUCCUGGAUCAUAAUCACCCCCUUAUAAACAAGGCAUGGACUCCCCAGUGACCCCCGUGGACUUCUCGCCACUUCUCAGUCUGGCGCACUAUAAUGAAUCACGCUACACAAAAGAUAAAGCCGUUGCCCACGCUGGCUUGUGGUUGGCACGAUAAAUGUUUCACAACAGUAGCUCGCGAACCGGUCCUUAAUUGCCAUGAGCACGACUCUCAAAACCAUGUGCUCACAACCCACCAUUAUCAAGUUUUAGUUGGCAAGUAAUUAAUUAACCAAUCACGAUUAACCAUCGUGAACUAUCAUUAAGCCAUCCUUAAAUAAUAGUGAGUCAUAAGUUAUCCCAAUAGUGUGCUAAUGUUUCUAAGCAUGGCUAAGCAAUCAUAACUAAUAUCUAGCUGAACCAAUAUAUAAAGCCCAACUAGUCAAGUUAUAAUAACCUAAGGUAUCAAGGAAUAAAGUAAUCGAUGCAAAUUGGCCAUAACAAAGGAAUAAGUUCACACCACCCGGUGACAUUCGAAAAUAAAUGCACAGUUGAAAUAAAUAGAGAAUUUAAAUAUAGGAUCAACAUGCUCAAAGGAUUGUGUUUAGGAUCUGUGUGACUUGCCUUGCAAUAAUCGGUCUUCAAUUAAUCUUCUGAACACUCCUGACGCACUCACGAACCUUCGCAACGACGGAAACGACAAGCUAACACGCAAAACGAAGAAAAAGACUAAUAAAAACCAAAUAAACAGUACAUAUAAAGUAAACAAACAUGUAGAUCAUGAUUUUAGAUGAAUUUAGCAACUUGAACCACUCAAAACCGAGUUACGAUGAUUUAGUUAUGAAUUUCCGAAGAUUUAAUCUAUUAGAAAAACAGGAAAAAGAAAAACGAUGAUGACAUCAUGAUGACCUCAUCAAUGGCCGGACCAAGAUGGCGACCUCGCCGGAGAUUGGAUGGUCGGCUGCGACUUUGGAGGACAUGUACACGUAGAGGACGACGAGACGAACCCAACGGUACUCACCCUCGAACCAAACGACGAACGACGACGGCCGGCGACGAGGUCUAGCGGCGGCACGGCUUCGGUCGACGGCGGCGACGGGGCUCCGGUGACCGGCGACAGCGGGGAGAGAGCGGCCGGGCUUCUCCACCCUCCCGCGCACCUUACGGCGGUGACGGCGACCGGCGGCGACGACGGAGGCGACGGCACGACGCGGAUGGAGCUCGGCCGGCGACGACGGCGGGGUGGAGCACGUGGCGGCGGCGCUACGAGGCACGGGAGACCACGGGAGAGGGGGCAAACGAAAGAGGAGGACUAGGGGGUCCUAUUUAUAGCCUUGGAUUGAAGAGAUCGGACUCCUCCCGCAAGAAAUCGAUCCGGGAAAUCAAAAACUCGGUUUUGGAGAUAAACUCGAAAACGAGUUUGAUUCGGAUAAGAUACUCAACGAUUUGCUCCGAUUUUUGGGGGUAAAGAUAGAGGAGGAUAAGAGGAAUAUUUCCCCUCAACUAAUUUUAGAAAAACACAAGGGGAAAGGUCAGAUUUGGAGGAGAAAAAACCGAGCCAAAUCGGUCUCAGUUCGGCUGCUUGAGGUAGAAGAUAAACAGUGUCGAGG
rnacentral:lncRNA from 1 species